rnacentral:rRNA from 1 species
GUAGGGUGCGAGCGUUAUCCGGAAUUAUUGGGCGUAAAGAGCUCGUAGGCGGUUUGUCGCGUCUGUCGUGAAAGUCCGGGGCUUAACCCCGGAUCUGCGGUGGGUACGGGCAGACUAGAGUGCAGUAGGGGAGACUGGAAUUCCUGGUGUAGCGGUGGAAUGCGCAGAUAUCAGGAGGAACACCGAUGGCGAAGGCAGGUCUCUGGGCUGUAACUGACGCUGAGGAGCGAAAGCAUGGGGAGCGAACAGGAUUAGAUACCCUGGUAGUCCAUGCCGUAAACGUUGGGCACUAGGUGUGGGGACCAUUCCACGGUUUCCCGCGCCGCAGCUAACGCAUUAAGUGCCCCCGCCUGGGGAUACGGCCGCAAGGCUA